rnacentral:misc_RNA from 1 species
UAUUAUUUUUUGUCUCGUACAUUUUUGACCCACUAUGCACCACUGUCUGGGGCCAUGUACGAACACAGUUUAUCGUACAUUUUUAUAGCUGUCAGUGCGUUGGCUGUCAAGUGUCAAAAACAUUUGCAACGCGCUCAGCGCCGUGCGGGCAAAAUGCAAAAUGCAAAUGCACUUACGAACGUCUCUCGCCAAAUGCCUGACAAUGACAAGCCAACAGAAGAAACAUACAUAUUGUACAUAUAUAAAUAUAUAUACAACUUGCACGAUGGAUUCGCAUUGUUUGCCACACAGAAAGAGAGAGAGAGAGACAGAGAGAGAUGGAGAGAGAUAUGUAUUACACAAGUCAGAGUGGGGAUUUGUACAAUAGUUUCGAACAGGGGCGACUAUCUGACUGACUGACUGACUGACAUGACUGAACGUGUGUAAUGAUUAUGGGUAUGAUGUUGAUGAUGCUCUGACAUUGCCCUGACGCCUUGAUUAAACUGUCAUUUAACUUCAUUUAUUUUGACAUAAAACUGACAAGAGAGAGACCCUCAUCCCAAGCCAAGUGGCAGAAUAUAUUCAAUUUCAGCGAAUAAAAUGUGCACGAGAGAGAAAUGGCUUAUUUUAAAGCCCGAUGAGGUCACCUAUCUAACUAUCUAACAAUCUAUCGGAUUGAAAGUUCAAUUAAUAGAUCAAGGCACGAAUUAUAUUGCUUAUUCUAUGGUUUAUCUGAUUAAGUAACAAAUCAAUUGCACAAGUCAUUCGAUUCGAUUCGAUUCGAUUCGUUGAGGAGGCAACAACACUCAUUUAAUGCUAAAUAACAAGUGAUUAAAAUUCGCUUUGCGCCGCCGAUAUAAAGCUGUCACUAGACAUAAAUUACAAUAUGUCAGGUCUCAAGAACCUUUGACUUUUAUUAAUGUAAACAUGGAAAGCAACACGCAUGCUGAACAGACACAGGCACAGCUACAGCUACAGCUACAGCUACAACAUGCUGACACUGAAAGCCGAGAUAAGUUACCCACAAGACUCGGGGCCGGGCCCCAAGACUCGAGGCCAAAAGACGGAGGGAGAGACCCAAAGACUGGCUCCACAGAGCCAGGCAGGCAGCACGCUGACAGGCAAAAGUCUGGACCGAAAGAAGAUGCAAUACUUGAGGUUCGUUUGGGCCCUUGAUUAUGGUAUAAUUCUUACUACCACAGCCAGAGCCAGAGCCCAGAGCCCAGAGCCAGUCUCAGCCCCAUUUCGCAUACUCCUCUCCUCUGUGUCUCUCUCCUCUCUCGCUGUUUUGUGUCUGUUUGCGCGCUCACUUAGCGAUCAUAUCAUUUUGACAUGCUCGUGUGUUUAAGCUGUCAAAUUGCCUGCUGUCUACGGAUGCUGUUCCGUUCCUCUAGGAGAGUCUAGGAGAGGAGAGUCUUAACUAUCUUUUUGAACUCCUCGUAGACUGUAGACUGUAGACUGCAGACUGUGCUGUGGCCGCCUGUUGGAGCCGCGCGCUUGUCUUGUCUAUUUGUAUCUGGACAGGCACUUCUCGGCCUUAAGUUGACGUGUUACGCUGUCAGCAUGGAGAAAACCUCAAUUUCAAACUGUCAGUUUAUAUGUCAGCUUCAACUGACAGUUCUCCAUGUUGGCGCUGUCUCUUUUUCUUCGUUUCGUUUCGUUACGUUGGCUCCGGCUCUGGCUCUGGCUUUUCCACAGAUACAAAUACAGAUACCAUACCGCGUAGAGGCUACAGUCUACAGCCGACAGACAGGGAGAUACUUAGAUGGGCAUUUGAAUAAUGCGCACACAACUCUCUGGCUUACCAAAGAGGUAAACCGACUGAAUGUCCGACUAAUAUUAUGACGUUCCGUCUAUUUAGAAUACUAAGAUUAUGCAGAUUUCUAGAUCAAUGCUAUUUUCUGCGCCAACCCCUGGCUCACUCGCACUGUAAUGAGUAAAAUAUCGGAUAGCGACGAGCCAAAAUAUAUUUAAUAAAAAUAUAAGGUAAAUGACUUAUCCCAGAAAUAUUUAUAAAGAUUCUUCGAAUACAAUACUUGUAGAUAUAUCAUAAUAGAGGUGUAAAGUGCUACCCUUCCCAGUCACUGUUCCUGCUCCCAUUCACAGUGAUUCCCAGCCACAAAUACCCUACCCUCAGCGCACUUCCUUUAGGAAGACAGAACGACAGCCGGACAGUUCCUUUUGGACUGUUCUCAAGCGAUAAAUAAAGUUGUGAACAUUG